CAAGUCGAGCGAGGUAGCAAUACCUAGCGGCAGACGGGUGCGUAACAUGUGGGAAUCUGCCUUUGGCCUGGAAUAACAUGAGGAAACUUGUGCUAAUACCGGAUAAGUCUUUACGGAGAAAGCUUUAUGCACCAUUGGAUGAGCCCGCACUUGAUUAGUUAGUUGGUAGGGUAAUGGCCUACCAAGACUGUGAUCAAUAGCUGAUUUGAGAGGAUGAUCAGCCACAUUGGGACUGAGGCACGGCCCAAACUCC
rnacentral:rRNA from 1 species